GGAAUCACUGGGCUUAAAGCGUACGUAGGCUGGUAUAUAGGCAUUUGUGAAUCCCUCGGCUCAACCGAGGAACUGCAGAGUGANCCAUAUAUCUUGAGACAGACAGAGGUCGUCGGAACGAUUGGUGGAGUGGUGAAAUGCGUUGAUAUCAAUCGGAACGCCGAAGGAGAAGUCAGGCGACUGGGUCUGUUNUGACGCUAAGGUACGAAAGCGUGGGUAGCGAACGGGAUUAGAUACCCCGGUAGUCCACGCCGUAAACAAUGUGCACUAGGUCGAGGGCGUUCUGACGCGACUCUCGGCCGAAGCGAAAGUGUUAAGUGCACCGCCUGGGGAGUACGGUCGCAAGGCUAAAACUCAAAGGAAUUGACGGGGGCUCACACAAGCGGUGGAGCAUGUGGCUUAAUUCGAAGCAACGCGAAGAACCUUAUCCUAGGUUUGACAUACACGGAUUAGCUAUAAGAAACUAUAGUGACACCUUCGGGUGGAACGUGAACAGGUGCUGCAUGGCUGUCGUCAGCUCGUGCUGUGAAGUGUCGGGUUAAGUCCCUUAACGAGCGCAACCCUUAUCGUUAGUUGCUAACAGGUAAUGCUGAGGACUCUAGCGAGACUGCCGGUGUUAAACCGGAGGAAGGUGGGGAUGACGUCAAGUCCGCAUGGCCUUUAUGCCUAGGGCUGCACACGUGCUACAAUGGCAAGUACAAAACGAUGCAAUACCGCGAGGUGGAGCAAAUCGCAAAAGCUUGCCCCAGUUCGGAUUGCAGGCUGCAACUCGCCUGCAUGAAGUUGGAAUCGCUAGUAAUCGUGGAUCAGCAUGCCACGGUGAAUACGUUCCUGAGCCUUGUACACACCGCCCGUCAAGUCAUGGAAGCUGGUAGUGCCUUAAGUCGCCGAGAUUCAUCGGUGCCCACGGCAAGACUGGUGACUGGGACUAAGUCGUAACAAGGUAAC
rnacentral:rRNA from 1 species